rnacentral:rRNA from 1 species
GACGAACGCUGGCGGCGUGCUUAACACAUGCAAGUCGAACGGAAAGGCCCUGCUUGCAGGGUACUCGAGUGGCGAACGGGUGAGUAACACGUGGGUGAUCUGCCCUGCACUUCGGGAUAAGCCUGGGAAACUGGGUCUAAUACCGGAUAGGAGCCAUUUUUAGUGUGAUGGUUGGAAAGUUUUUUCGGUGUAGGAUGAGCUCGCGGCCUAUCAGCUUGUUGGUGGGGUAAUGGCCUACCAAGGCGGCGACGGGUAGCCGGCCUGAGAGGGUGGACGGCCACAUUGGGACUGAGAUACGGCCCAGACUCCUACGGGAGGCAGCAGUGGGGAAUAUUGCACAAUGGGCGCAAGCCUGAUGCAGCGACGCCGCGUGGGGGAUGACGGCCUUCGGGUUGUAAACUCCUUUCGCUAGGGACGAAGCUUUUUGUGACGGUACCUAGAUAAGAAGCACCGGCUAACUACGUGCCAGCCGCCGCAGUAA